GCAAGCGUACAACAUGCCAUAACCAUUAUCAUUCAAUAUUGGGACUCAAAUCGUAUAAAAAUUUGGUUAAUGACAAACUCUUAUUAGAAAAAAAUUUAGAAAAAUUCUUUUAGAGAAAUGGACUGAGACACGACCCAGAUUCCUACGGGAGGCAGCAGUGGGGAAUUUUCCAUAAUGGGUGAAAGCCUGACGGAGCAAUGC
rnacentral:ncRNA from 1 species